UCUCCCAACCCUUGUACCAGUG
rnacentral:miRNA from 29 species